UGGAAUGCAUUAUUUCCAAAUGGAUUUUUGCAGUCAUUCUCAUCAUAACACCAAAUUCAUUUCAUUUUUACAUAAAUGUACUCA
rnacentral:tRNA from 1 species